rnacentral:rRNA from 1 species
UCCACGCCGUAAACGAUGAUAACUAGCUGUUCGGGCUCUACGAGCUUGAGUGGCGCAGCUAACGCAUUAAGUUAUCCGCCUGGGGAGUACGGUCGCAAGAUUAAAACUCAAAGGAAUUGACGGGGGCCUGCACAAGCGGUGGAGCAUGUGGUUUAAUUCGAAGCAACGCGCAGAACCUUACCAGCGUUUGACAUCCUAAUCGCGGUUUUCAGAGAUGAUU